CAAUUUAAACAACGAAGAGUUUGAUCCUGGCUCAGGAUGAACGCUAGCGACAGGCUUAACACAUGCAAGUCGAGGGGCAGCACGGGUAGCAAUACCGGGUGGCGACCGGCGCACGGGUGAGUAACGCGUAUGCAACUUACCUAUCAGAGGGGGAUAACCCGGCGAAAGUCGGACUAAUACCGCAUGAAGCAGGGGCCCCGCAUGGGGAUAUUUGCUAAAGAUUCAUCGCUGAUAGAUAGGCAUGCGUUCCAUUAGGCAGUUGGCGGGGUAACGGCCCACCAAACCGACGAUGGAUAGGGGUUCUGAGAGGAAGGUCCCCCACAUUGGUACUGAGACACGGACCAAACUCCUACGGGAGGCAGCAGUGAGGAAUAUUGGUCAAUGGGCGUAAGCCUGAACCAGCCAAGUCGCGUGAGGGAUGAAGGUUCUAUGGAUCGUAAACCUCUUUUAUAAGGGAAUAAAGUGCGGGACGUGUCCCGUUUUGUAUGUACCUUAUGAAUAAGGAUCGGCUAACUCCGUGCCAGCAGCCGCGGUAAUACGGAGGAUCCGAGCGUUAUCCGGAUUUAUUGGGUUUAAAGGGUGCGUAGGCGGCCUUUUAAGUCAGCGGUGAAAGUCUGUGGCUCAACCAUAGAAUUGCCGUUGAAACUGGGAGGCUUGAGUAUGUUUGAGGCAGGCGGAAUGCGUGGUGUAGCGGUGAAAUGCUUAGAUAUCACGCAGAACCCCGAUUGCGAAGGCAGCCUGCCAAGCCAUGACUGACGCUGAUGCACGAAAGCGUGGGGAUCAAACAGGAUUAGAUACCCUGGUAGUCCACGCAGUAAACGAUGAUCACUAGCUGUUUGCGAUACACUGUAAGCGGCACAGCGAAAGCGUUAAGUGAUCCACCUGGGGAGUACGCCGGCAACGGUGAAACUCAAAGGAAUUGACGGGGGCCCGCACAAGCGGAGGAACAUGUGGUUUAAUUCGAUGAUACGCGAGGAACCUUACCCGGGUUUGAACGCAUUUCGACCGCUCUGGAAACAGAGCCUCUAGCAAUAGCGAUUUGCGAGGUGCUGCAUGGUUGUCGUCAGCUCGUGCCGUGAGGUGUCGGCUUAAGUGCCAUAACGAGCGCAACCCUUGCCACUAGUUACUAACAGGUAAAGCUGAGGACUCUGGUGGGACUGCCAGCGUAAGCUGCGAGGAAGGCGGGGAUGACGUCAAAUCAGCACGGCCCUUACAUCCGGGGCGACACACGUGUUACAAUGGCGUGGACAAAGGGAAGCCACCUGGCGACAGGGAGCGAAUCCCCAAACCACGUCUCAGUUCGGAUCGGAGUCUGCAACCCGACUCCGUGAAGCUGGAUUCGCUAGUAAUCGCGCAUCAGCCAUGGCGCGGUGAAUACGUUCCCGGGCCUUGUACACACCGCCCGUCAAGCCAUGGGAGCCGGGGGUACCUGAAGUCCGUAACCGCGAGGAUCGGCCUAGGGUAAAACUGGUGACUGGGGCUAAGUCGUAACAAGGUAGCCGUACCGGAAGGUGCGGCUGGAACACCUCCUUUCU
rnacentral:rRNA from 1 species